GGAAUGAAAUGAGUGGAGUCCUGUUGUCACCCGCAGGGUAGUCCGUAACUACGUUUAUUCCUCUUUAUUAAAAAAAUUUUAAGAUAUUAUUUAUUUAUGAGAAACACAGAGAAAGAGUCAGAUACACAGGCAGAGGGAGAAGCAGGCUCCCCGUGGGAAACCUGAUGCAGGACUCGAUCCCAGGACCUCGGGAUCCCCACCUGAGCCAAAGGCAGAUGCUCAACCACUAAGCCACCCAGGUGCCCCAACUGUGUCCUCUCUUUAGGCUCUAACCAGCCAGAAAGCUUAUUUUUAUAUCCACAAAUGACAAGUUAGAUGUCAAAUAUCUACUCUUUCUUUCUUUUCAUCACUUCUUCUUUUCCCCCUCCCCCAUCUCGUCUCAUCUACUUACCUUGAGGACCAAAGCCCCUUCUAGGUAUGGAAGAUUUUCAGGGGACCAAAGUCUGGUUCUGGACCAUGAGGAGGGGCAGAAAGGUGGCCAGGCCAGGGGCUGGUAGCAGAGCCACAAGACUUCAACCCCAGGUCAAGGCGGAAGGUAUUAAUUGUCAUAAAUUAUGCACAAGGACAAAGCUGUGGGUGUUUGGAAGAGAACAAGGCCACAUUCUGUGGAAUCUAAAAAAAAUACAGUGACAGAAAAUUAGGUAGUGACUCCAAAGUACAUGACAACCUAAGAUUAGUUAGCGGUGGCAGAUAUUGGGCAAAAGAGAAAGAAGGAAUUACAAUACUUUUCUUGGGAAUGAUCCCAAUUUUAUUUUCAUUCUUUUGUGCGGGCCUCUCCCUUAGAAGGUAUUUUUAUGAAGAAUACAAAAAAGUGGACAUAAGUAAAACAUUUGAGGACUGUAACCUGUUGAGACUGCUACUUUUACUAUGUGAACUUGAGAGAAUCAGAUUGUUUCCAUUUCCUGACUUCUGGGUAGAGGGGUAUUUGAAACUGCCAAAUGUCUCAAAGGUCAUAUUAAGGGAUUAAUAAAGUAAAAUUUAAAAUUCCUUAAAUUUGAAGUAUCUAUAUGAUAGACUCAUGAAAGGCUUAGGCUAGUUUGAAACCAUUGAGGUUUGCACUUUUUAAAAUAAUACAGUUAGGAGUUGAGUGAAUGUCUUCAUCUGUAAAAGCAAAUCUUCAUCUGUAAAACUGAACUCUUUUAAAAGACAGAUUUAUUUUCUACCUGUAAUAUAUAUUCAUUAUAAAUAUGCCCACAUCCUUCCACUUGGUUUCUAUCUUGAGCAUUUAUCAUAUAUUAACUAUAUAUAAGAAAAAUGAUUUUUGAGGACUGAGGAAGUUAUCAUUCUUAUGGUUAUCCCCAAAUAUUAUUAAUACUCCAUUAUAUGACAGGGUUUUGCAAUUUUCAGGUUAUAUAAAAUAACCCUUAAUGGACAAUCUUUUUAUAUUUAUUUACCUUUAUGCUUGUACAGGUUUUUGUGUAUAGGCAAAUAGACCAUUUUCUUGGAAUAUUGUGUAGUAGCAGAAUCACU
rnacentral:lncRNA from 12 species